UACGAAGGGGGCUAGCGUUGCUCGGAAUCACUGGGCGUAAAGCGCACGUAGGCGGCUUUCUAAGUCAGGGGUGAAAUCCCGGGGCUCAACCCCGGAACUGCCUUUGAUACUGGUAGUCUCGAGUCCGGAAGAGGUGAGUGGAAUUCCGAGUGUAGAGGUGAAAUUCGUAGAUAUUCGGAGGAACACCUGCGGCGAAGGCGGGUAGCUGGGCCGACACUGACGCUGAUGCGCGAAAGCCAGGGGAGCGAACGGG
rnacentral:rRNA from 1 species